rnacentral:rRNA from 1 species
GACAGAGGGUGCAACCGUUGUUCGGAAUUACUGGGCGUAAAGCGCGUGUAGGCGGCUUAUCAAGUCAGGCGUGAAAUUCCCGGGCUCAACCUGGGGGCUGCGCUUGAUACUGAUUGGCUUGAAUGCGGGAGAGGAUAGUGGAAUUCCCAGUGUAGAGGUGAAAUUCGUAGAUAUCGGGAAGAACACCGGUGGCGAAGGCGGCUAUCUGGCCCGUAAUUGACGCUGAGGCGCGAAAGCGUGGGGAGCAAACAGG